ACAGGUUGCAUAUGGCCAAGUUCUUGGAGUCAUAGGAUAUUCAUUACUUCCUCUCAUUGUAAUAGCCCCUAUACUUUUGGUGGUUGGAUCCUUUGAAGUGGUGUCUACACUUAUAAAACUGUUUGGCGUGUUUUGGGCUGCCUACAGUGCUGCUUCAUUGCUAGUGGGUGAAGAAUUCAAGACCAAAAAGCCUCUUCUGAUCUAUCCAAUCUUUUUAUUAUACAUUUAUUUUUUGUCUUUAUAUACUGGGGUGUGAUUCAAGUCAUACAUGUGUAAGGGAUGGCGACGACAUUUGUGUGUAAGCUGGGAUUUCUGCCGAAAGGGUUGGACAAAACUGUUGCUGAUAAAAUUUUACAUGUUCCAGAUGUCAAGGCAGGUUCAAGGUCUUUAUAAAACAAUAUUUUUUGUAUUUAAUUAAGCAGUUAUCUGGGAUUUUUGGUCAGAAUUCUAAAUUCUUUUUGGUUCUUCAUAUUCCAGUGAAUAAAAUGUAAAAGCAU